CCUACGGGAGGCAGCAGUGGGGAAUAUUGGACAAUGGAGGGAACCCUGAUCCAGCGACGCCGCGUGAGUGAAGAAGUAUUUCGGUAUGUAAAGCUCUAUCAGCAGGGGAGAAAAUGACGGUACCUGACUAAGAAGCCCCGGCUAACUACGUGCCAGCAGCCGCGGUAAUACGUAGGGGGCAAGCGUUAUCCGGAUUUACUGGGUGUAAAGGGAGCGUAGACGGCAGCACAAGUCUGGAGUGAAAUGCCGGGGCUUAACCCCGGAACUGCUUUGGAAACUGUGCAGCUAGAGUGCAGGAGAGGUAAGUGGAAUUCCUAGUGUAGCGGUGAAAUGCGUAGAUAUUAGGAGGAACACCAGUGGCGAAGGCAGCUUACUGGACUGUAACUGACGUUGAGGCUCGAAAGCGUGGGGAGCAAACAGGAUUAGAUACCCGAGUAGUC
rnacentral:rRNA from 1 species